GGGGCGGGGGGGAGCGCUCCCAGGGAGGCUGAAGGGGAGGGCCGGCCUCGCUUCUGUGGCUCCUCAUGUUCCUUGGCCCGAGGCUGCACCCUCCAGCCUGUACCGGGGUCUCACGUGCCCCCCUUCUCUCUCUCCCUGCGCAGCUCCUCCAAGGACGCCGCUUGUUGGAUGGGAAGCCCACGUGGACGAGCGGAGAGGGGCACGUCCUGAGGCCCCGCACGGCCCCUUUCCGAAGUGAAGUCACAUGGAUGAACUCCAGGGAUUAGGACGUGCACGCAUGUUUUUGGGGAUCCCCUUCCACCUGCCACAAUCCACUCGGUCCUUCAGGGCCUGCCCUCACACUAAGACUCCAGAACGAGCCUCCGUGGCCCCCUCUCCGCAAGGUCACCCGUCCAACCUCCUUGGCCCUCAGCAGCUUUGGGGGUUCGCCCUCCUGCCGGAGGAGCUUCCCCCACGCCCUCCACGGUGUCAGGCUUGCCAGCCUCUCCGCCGGCCUCCUCUGUGGCCCCUCGUCUCCUCCUCCGUGGCCUGACGACCGCAGAGACCCAGGGGUGCAGCCCGAGGCGUCCCUGAGGUCUGAACAAGGAUGAUGCCACGUAGGAACUUUGACCCUCAAAAGUAUUUCCAAGACUUCCUGUGUGUCCCUUCACGCAACCUAAGCCCAGUUCUGUGCUCGAGAACAGCUCAUGACUCUACCUGAGGCCCCACAAGCAUGUCCUUUGGUCUGUAACUCUGGGGAGGGAGGGGAAGCAGUGGCCUCCCCACCUGACGCGAGAAAAGUGAUGGAAACUUUCUGGGCCUUGGUCUUUUCCAGGGUGGACUAUCAUGGGGUUGGCAGCGGCCGCGGCGGCAGUGGGUAUUUUUUUUAAAGACUUCAUUUAUUUAUCUUAGAGAGCGAGUGAGCAGGGGAAGAGCAGAGGGCGAGGGAGACAGUCGCCAGCAGACUCCGCGAGGAGGGCAGAGCCUGACGCGGGGCUCGAUCUCAUGACCUUGAGGUCACGACCUGGGCCAAAGCCAAGAGUCGGAUGCGUGACUCCUGGAGCCCCCCAGGCACCUGUCAGGACGUUAUUUUAAGGGAAAACUUAGAUAAGAGUGUUCAGAUGCCCUAAGUCUGGCCUGUUGCCAGCCAGCCAGCCUUCCUCCCUGCUGGGUUUCAAGUGUUUGAUUUUACUCUGAGGCUCAGCCUCACCUCUGUCAAGGAUCACCUGACAGGAGGCACGUGCCUGGGGAGGGGGGACGUCCCACGGUGGGGUUUCCCGGCCGACCCCUGCAUGUCCGUCGUUGACAGGGACUGUCUGGCGAGCAAGCACGGAUGCUCCCGAGAGAAGGGCAGUGAGCACCGCGUAGGUGAGCCCCACGGGAGGCAAGCAGGAGGCUGCUUCAGUCACCUGCUUGCCUCUCCCCGGCCCGUAGGUGUGGGUCAGUCUGCUUCCAUGCAGCCCAGGUCCCCAACCCGGAGGGCCCCACACACCUUCCCCGCUGCCUCCGCCCGGGGGACAAGUUGGGACAACUCCAGCUGUUUGGCACUGAAG
rnacentral:lncRNA from 1 species